rnacentral:rRNA from 1 species
UGUGGUUAAUUCGAUGCAACGCGAAGAACCUACCUGGUCUUGACAUCCCGGAGACCCUUAGGAAACUAGGGGGUGCUUCCAUCUGGAAGAAUCUGGAGACAGGUGCUGCAUGGCUGUCGUCAGCUCGUGUCGUGAGAUGUUGGGUUAAGUCCCGCAACGAGCGCAACCCUUGCCCUUAGUUGCCAGCAGUUCGGCUGGGCACUCUAAAGGGACUGCCGGUGUUAAACCGGAGGAAGGUGGGGAUGACGCCAAGUCCUCAUGGCCUUUAUGACCAGGGCUACACACGUACUACAAUGGCCGAUACAAAGGGCAGCGACACUGCGAGGUGAAGCCAAUCCCGUAAAAUCGGUCUCAGUCCGGAUUGGAGUCUGCAACUCGACUCCAUGAAGUUGGAAUCGCUAGUAAUCGUGGAUCAGCAUGCCACGGUGAAUACGUUCCCGGGCCUU